rnacentral:rRNA from 1 species
AGCGAACGCUGGCGGCGUGGUUAAGGCAUGCAAGCCGAGCGAUCCCGCAAGGGAUAGCGGCAAACGGGUGAGUAACGCGUAGGUAACCUACCCUGAAGUGUGGGAUAGUCCGGCGAAAGUCGGGGUAAUACCACAUGCACUUGCGGACUGCAUGGUUCGCAAGGAAAGAUGGCCUCGACCGAAAGGUUGCUAUCACUUUAGGAGGGACCUGCGUCCCAUCAGCUAGUUGGAGGGUAACGGCCUACCAAGGCAUUUGACGGGUAGGCUAGCCUUAGAGGGCGGGUUAGCCACACUGGGACUGAGACACUGCCCAGACUCCU